rnacentral:rRNA from 1 species
GACGAACGCUGGCGGCGUGCCUAAUACAUGCAAGUCGAGCGAACAGAUGAGGAGCUUGCUCCUCUGACGUUAGCGGCGGACGGGUGAGUAACACGUGGAUAACCUACCUAUAAGACUGGGAUAACUUCGGGAAACCGGAGCUAAUACCGGAUAAUAUAUUGAACCGCAUGGUUCAAUAGUGAAAGACGGUUUUGCUGUCACUUAUAGAUGGAUCCGCGCCGCAUUAGCUAGUUGGUAAGGUAACGGCUUACCAAGGCAACGAUGCGUAGCCGACCUGAGAGCGUGGUCGCCCACACUGGAACUGAGACACGGUCCAGACUCCUACGGUAGGAAGCAGUAGGGAAUCUUCCGCAAGGGGCGAAAGCCUGACGGAGCAACGCCGCGUGAGUGAUGAAGGUCUUCGGAUCGGAAAACUCUGUUAUUAGGGAAGAACAAAUGUGUAAGUAACUAUGCACGUCUUGACGGUACCUAAUCAGAAAGCCACGGCUAACUACGUG